GAUGAACGCUAGCGGGAGGCCUAACACAUGCAAGCCGAGCGGUAGAGUUUCUUCGGAAACUUGAGAGCGGCGCACGGGUGCGUAACACGUGUGCAACCUACCUUUAUCUGGGGGAUAGCCUUUCGAAAGGAAGAUUAAUACCCCAUAAUAUAAUGAUUGGCAUCAAUUAUUAUUGAAAACUCCGGUGGAUAGAGAUGGGCACGCGCAAGAUUAGAUAGUUGGUGAGGUAACGGCUCACCAAGUCAAUGAUCUUUAGGGGUCCUGAGAGGGAGAUCCCCCACACUGGUACUGAGACACGGACCAGACUCCUACGGGAGGCAGCAGUGAGGAAUAUUGGACAAUGGGUGAGAGCCUGAUCCAGCCAUCCCGCGUGAAGGAUGACGGUCCUAUGGAUUGUAAACUUCUUUUGUACAGGGGUAAACCUACCCUCGUGAGGGUAGCUGAAGGUACUGUACGAAUAAGCACCGGCUAACUCCGUG
rnacentral:rRNA from 1 species